rnacentral:rRNA from 1 species
UACGUAGGGUGCAAGCGUUAAUCGGAAUUACUGGGCGUAAAGCGUGCGCAGGCGGCUUUGCAAGACAGAUGUGAAAUCCCCGGGCUUAACCUGGGAACUGCAUUUGUGACUGCGAUGGGCUCGAGUGGCGGCAGAGGGGGAUGGAAUUCCGCGUGUAGCAGUGAAAUGCGUAGAUAUGCGGAGGAACACCGAUGGCGAAGGCGAAUCCC